rnacentral:rRNA from 1 species
UACAGAGGGUGCGAGCGUUAAUCGGAAUUACUGGGCGUAAAGCGCACGUAGGUGGCGACGUAAGUCGGGUGUGAAAGCCCCGGGCUCAACCUGGGAAUUGCAUUCGAGACUGCAUUGCUGGAGUACGGAAGAGGAAGGCGGAAUUCCCGGUGUAGCGGUGAAAUGCGUAGAUAUCGGGAGGAACAUCAGUGGCGAAGGCGACCACCUGGACUGAUACUGACACUGAGGUGCGAAAGCGUGGGGAGCAAACAGG